CCGGAAUGUGGCACUCAGUGGGAGGGGCAUUUGUUUGGUUAGUAGAAGCCGGAAAACAUGUCUGCGAGUUGCACGGAGCGGCUCACAGACAUGGGGACCUUGUGAAAUCAUUCGGCGUCAGAGCUUCCUCCAGAAUGAACCAAAGAGACCUCGGAGCCUGAGACAAGGGGUCAGAGGGCCGCUGCCGGGGUCUAACGCCUCCCC